UCAUGAGCAAUUAAUUUACGGAAUCUCCUUUCUUCGGUCUGAUCAGGACGGACUAAAAGCUUACUAGAUAACACCUUAAUCUGACUAGUUUACUCAGUGAGUCUAAUCCCGGUCCCCAAAGUAUAUUAAUAAUAUCUCGAGCAAUCAAAUCCAUUUGUAUGCAGCGGAAAUAUAUUUAAUAACUAAUAAAAUACAUAUAUAAGGCCUAUCAUUUCAUCGUUGUGAAUAUUAUCUUAAACAUCACCUCCACGACAUCCGUCAUUCACUCAUACUUAGAGUAUAUAUAUAUAUAUA
rnacentral:lncRNA from 1 species